UCCCUCACUCUCAGUCCGAAAUACCGAUUAAUUAGGAACAACAGAAAAAUAAAUAUAGUUUCAGUGAAAAUUCGUUCUAAAAUUAAUUAAACCUCGAUUGGUAUUGCUGAAAAUAAUUCGACACCGAAUGAGUGUGCAUUGAUGGUUGUCCUCGAGUAUCAGUUAGGGCACGUCAACUCUGGAGGGUUCAAAGAGUCUCUCUGAGACAGGAUGAAUUCAUGACAUUCCCAGUGUAAAGAGACCUUGAUAGAUUGAAAACUGGAUAAUGGAGAGACGUCUGAAGGACGAGGUGGAUGUGUCCCAUCGGGUGUUGCCAAUGGGCAAACAGAAGACCCACAUAUACAUGCCCUGGUAAAUUGCCGCCUGCUAAGGCCAUAUCCCUGGAUAUCCAAUUACUCUUCGUCGUCCUGAUGCGUCGUACUAUCGAGACAAGUGCCCAUACCCCGAGGGCUUAUUCGUUGGCUGGAAGAGGUGGAGCAAGGGUAGCAUUCCGGAAGAAUGAUAAAUCAUACAGUAACAUAAAAAAAUGCAGAAAGAUGGAUGGCUCGGUUGGAGCACAAGAAAAUCAUAAAGAAGAUGAUUUCAUUGGGCUUCCGUGAGCUCACUGGAGCUGGAUAGAAAUUUCUGCUGGAGCUCAGCAAUCAAAAUAGCUGGCGGUCAGUGCACCAAAGACUUCAACCUCCUGCCAUUAUCCCCCUGUCUUCAUUUCUCCUCAUCCAUUCAUUUCUCCAAACAUUUUUAUUUCCAUUCCCCUCCGGUGAAAGCCAUCGCAAGGUCUUCAUCCGUCAGUAAUUUUCAACUUUUUAUUUCAUAAAUUCGGGGAAUGCUUGGGUUGUUGGCGAAUUGCCAAAGAAAGAAUUAAGAAUUACACGGGGUGGAGGAUAUCGAAGGAGAAAGAAGAUGCUCCAGUGGAAAAAGCCAUUAACCCAGAUCGUCGCCUUUAAUGGUGAGUACUGUGUGCACAAAGUGGAGCGCGUUAUGUGUGAGACUUGAGGUGGGCCCUUACUUCUUCAAUGCAAGAUGUACUUUUAUGCCCUCAGACCCAGUGAACGUCAGAUAGCUUCAGGGAAAUGUGAGAAUAAAGAUAGCCCAGUGAUACCUAUACAUUUUCCUUUAUGGGGGCUUCGCAAUUGUUAUAGCUUCUUCUUUUUUAUGGGGGUGGAUCUUCAUUUGGAGAAUCUAGUUCAGUUAAGUGAUAAGCCAAGUUCUUACCAACUUUAAUGGCAAUUAUUCUUUUUUCCUAUCUUACAGAAGAAUGUGCCCUUAGCCCUCAUAUCCUAUCCAUAAAAAAUUACAUCCAGAAUGUCUUCAUGCCCUUAAAUAACAGAACGAUUUCUCAGGAGAACACAUCUUUUAUGGGAAAGUCUAUAAAGAUAGUGAAGCGAUUCUCAAAUAUAUUCAAGGUUUUAUGAAUUUUUCUGGGGAAUAAUUCCUGUCGCUGUUGCAUUUCGACAGAGAAUAUUUCGAUUUAUCGCGGUAAUCCGCGGAUUUUAUGAAAAUCAGUGAUGACUGUCGUCAUGAAUCAGAGUGGAAGUGAAAUCGUAGAAAAUUUGAUGGUUGAAAAAAUUUUAAUGCCUCCAUAUUUUAUAUCCAAUGAGAAUAUCUUAAUCUUCUCAAUUAAUAACGAUUUAUUACGAAAAAAGAUUUGUUUAUGAAAACGUCAUUACAAGGAUAGCAAAGCGAUCCCUAAUUCUAAUUUAAAAUCCGAAAAGUUUUGAAUUUUCGUUUUGAGUAUUUUUUUCCUUUUUCAUUCGUUCGUUCGUUCAUCAAAAAUGAGUACAUUAUACAAAAAAGUAUAAUGAUAAAUAGCUUUUUUCAAUUUUCUCUAUUUUCAAUGCCUGUAAAAAAAUCCUCAUUGUUGGAUUCUCCUUUUAUUGACGAGCAGACAUUGAAAACGUCUCCAUCAUCGCAAAUAGAAAGUGAUUUCUUUCUCGGGAAGUGGUUUUUCAAUUUUCCCAUUUCCA